rnacentral:rRNA from 1 species
UACGGAGGGUGCGAGCGUUAUUCGGAAUUACUGGGCGUAAAGCGCGUGUAGGCGGGGGGACAAGUCUGAUGUGAAAGCCCUGGGCUUAACCUGGGAAGCGCAUUGGAAACUGUUUGUCUUGAGUACUGGAGAGGAAGGGGGAAUUCCCGGUGUAGAGGUGAAAUUCGUAGAGAUCGGGAGGAAUACCAGUGGCGUAGGCGCCCUUCUGGACGGUAACUGACGCUGAGACGCGAAAGCGUGGGGAGCAAACAGG